UGGCUUAGUGAGGCGUUAUCAUAACUGCAAAAUUUUUGUAUCUUAUUUUUAAUCUUUAGCUUCUAGAUUUUAAACUCGAUUUUUUUUUUUUUUUUUUUUUUUUCCAUGCCAGUAGCUUGAAAUAUAACUGUGACCUACUUGGAAAAAGCUUGGUCGGGAAAUCUUGUGCAGAUUUGCUGAUUGCAAAAUUCAUUUUGCCCAAGGGAGUCUUCCAGUGGAGCGCAGGCUAAAAGCAUUGAGGACGUAGCAAAGUAGAGGAAAGGCUAUUUAUACUAAGGAUAAGGAAGCUGAGUAAUUAAAAUGAUACACUGGAAGAGGAUUCCAACAGAAUUCAGCCUGAAAACCUUCAGCUGUUGUUCU
rnacentral:lncRNA from 1 species